AUUGAACGCUGGCGGCAGGCUUAACACAUGCAAGUCGAGCGGAGCGAGGGUGCUUGCACCUUAGCUUAGCGGCGGACGGGUGAGUAAUGCUUAGGAAUCUGCCUAUUAGUGGGGGACAACAUUCCGAAAGGAAUGCUAAUACCGCAUACGCCCUACGGGGGAAAGCAGGGGAUCUUCGGACCUUGCGCUAAUAGAUGAGCCUAAGUCGGAUUAGCUAGUUGGUGGGGUAAAGGCCUACCAAGGGGACGAUCUGUAGCGGGUCUGAGAGGAUGCUCCGCCACACUGGGACUGGGACACGGCCCAGACUGCUACGGGAGGCAGCAGUGGGGAAUAUUGGACAAUGGGCGGAAGCCUGAUCCAGCCAUGCCGCGUGUGUGAAGAAGGCCUUUUGGUUGUAAAGCACUUUAAGCGAGGAGGAGGCUCUUAAGGUUAAUACCCUUGAUGAGUGGACGUUACUCGCAGAAUAAGCACCGGCUAACUCUGUGCCAGCCGCCGCGGUAAUAC
rnacentral:rRNA from 1 species